UAGUCCCAGCCGUAAACGGUGUGAACUUGGUGUGGGGAGUAUUGACCCUCUCCGUGCCGGAGCUAACGCGUUAAGUUCACCGCCUGGGGAGUACGGCCGCAAGGUUAAAACUCAAAGAAAUUGACGGGGGCCCGCACAAGCGGAGGAGCAUGUGGCUCAAUUCGAUGCAACGCGAAGAACCUUACCAGGGCUUGACAUGUGGCUGCAUGCCUGCUGAAAGGCAGGAGGCCUUCGAGGGUGCCACACAGGUGCUGCAUGGCUGUCGUCAGUUCGUGCCGUGAGGUGUUGGGUUAAGUCCCGCAACGAACGCAACCCUUUUGUUUAGUUGCCACCGUCGGUGAUGAGCCGGCGAGCACUCUAGACAGACUGCCCGUACAAGCGGGAGGAAGGUGGGGAUGACGUCAAGUCAGUAUGGCCCUUACGCCCUGGGCUGCACACGUGCUACAAUGGUCGGUACAGCGGGAAGCGAAGCCGCGAGGUGGUGCAAAUCCCUAAAAACCGGCCCCAGUUCGG
rnacentral:rRNA from 1 species